AUUUUGGAGCAUUGGAUUUGCUGGACAGUAGCUCUGCCUAACUCUGGCCACCAUCUUUCGAUUGUGAAUCCCUCAGGUAGUGAGCCACCAUUAGCCACCAUAGAUUUGAGUUUUGAUUUGAUUUGAAGCAAACUAUUGGACUUGAAGAUAUUCAGUGCGACUUACAAAUAAAGGCAGGUAGAAGGUAGAGGUAUAAGGAGUUGCUUGGAGGAUCCUGACUGCUAGUCCCACGUCACAUCUGAGAUAGGCUUUCCAUGCUUUUUGGCAUUACACUAUUUGUACUUUGUAUUUGGUUUUAGUAUUGCGUUAUGUGGAUUUAUUUAUGGUUUUGAGCCUUGUGGCUCAUUUAUUCAUUUUGGAUUUGUA